rnacentral:misc_RNA from 1 species
AUUGUUACGAGGAGUAACUUGAAACAUAUAUAUUGGACAGUAACUCAGCAACUAGCUCACCACACUAUCAAUGGGUGCAACUUAAGGCCUGGUGAUCUGCUUGGAACCGGGACCAUCAGCGGACCUGAUCCAGAAUCUCUGGGAUGCUUGCUGGAGUUAACAUGGAAUGCACAAAAGGCCAUUACCUUAGAUGGUAUAGAGCGCAAGUUCUUAGAAGACGGAGAUGAAGUUAUAUUUACGGGAUGCUGCAAGGGGAAGGAUUACAAUGUAGGAUUUGGAAGCUGCACCGGUAAGAUCCUUCCAGCUAUCCCUUGAGACGGCUCCCAACAGGCUGAAUGUUUCUCCUGUAUCAAAAUUUAUGUCAAUAAGGUGUUCCAACAACUGUUUUCUUUAAUUUCGUUGUAUCUAUCAAAACUGCAACUUUUGAGACAAACCGG